rnacentral:rRNA from 1 species
AACGCUAGCUACAGGCUUAACACAUGCAAGUCGCGGGGUAACGAGAGGGAAGCUUGCUUUCCUUGUCGACGACCGGCGCACGGGUGAGUAACGCGUAUCCAACCUGCCCAUUACCACGGGAUACCCCGUCGAAAGGCGGCCUAAUACCGUAUGCAGUCGUCAGAUGACAUCAGAGGACGACGAAAGGAUUGGCGGUAAUGGAUGGGGAUGCGUCUGAUUAGGUAGUUGGAGGGGUAACGGCCCACCAAGCCAUCGAUCAGUAGGGGUUCUGAGAGGAAGGUCCCCCACAUUGGAACUGAGACACGGUCCAAACUCCUACGGGAGGCAGCAGUGAGGAAUAUUGGUCAAUGGGCGCGAGCCUGAACCAGCCAAGUAGCGUGAGGGAUGACGGCCCUAUGGGUUGUAAACCUCUUUUAUGCGGGAAUAAAAUGUUUGACGUGUCAUACAUUGUAGGUACCGCAAGAAUAAGGACCGGCUAAUUCCGUGCCAGCAGCCGCGGUAAUACGGAAGGUCCGGGCGUUAUCCGGAUUUAUUGGGUUUAAAGGGAGCGUAGGCCGGAGAUUAAGCGUGUUGUGAAAUGUAGACGCUCAACGUCUGCACUGCAGCGCGAACUGGCAGACUUGAGUGUGCGCAACGUAGGCGGAAUUCGUGGUGUAGCGGUGAAAUGCUUAGAUAUCACGAAGAACUCCGAUUG